rnacentral:rRNA from 1 species
UACAGAGGUGGCAAGCGUUGUUCGGAAUUACUGGGCGUAAAGGGCGCGUAGGCGGCCCGUCAAGUCCCGUGUGAAAGCCCCCGGCUCAACCGGGGAACUGCACGGGAAACUAGCAGGCUUGAGUUCGGGAGAGGGAAGCGGAAUUUCGGGUGUAGCGGUGAAAUGCGCAGAUAUCCGAAGGAACACCGGUGGCGAAGGCGGCUUCCUGGCCUGUUCUUGACGCUGAGGCGCGAAAGCUAGGGGAGCAAACGGG